rnacentral:rRNA from 1 species
GAUGAACGCUAGCUACAGGCUUAACACAUGCAAGUCGAGGGGAAACGAUAGAGAAAGCUUGCUUUUUCUAGGCGUCGACCGGCGCACGGGUGAGUAACGCGUAUCCAACCUGCCCAUCACUUGGGGAUAACCUUGCGAAAGUAAGACUAAUACCCAAUGACGUCUCUAGAAGACAUCUGAAGGAGAUUAAAGAUUUAUCGGUGAUGGAUGGGGAUGCGUCUGAUUAGCUUGUUGGCGGGGUAACGGCCCACCAAGGCGACGAUCAGUAGGGGUUCUGAGAGGAAGGCCCCCCCACGAUUGGAACUGAGACACGGUCCAAACUCCUACGGGAGGCAGCAGUGAGGAAUAUUGGUCAAUGGACGAGAGUCUGAACCAGCCAUGCCGCGUGCAGGAUGACGGCUCUAUGAGUUGUAAACUGCUUUUGUACGAGGGUAAACGCAGAUACGUGUAUCUGUCUGAAAGUAUCGUACGAAUAAGGAUCGGCUAACUCCGUAG